rnacentral:misc_RNA from 1 species
GAUGAAGAACGCAGCGAAAUGCGAUACUUGGUGUGAAUUGCAGAAUCCCGUGAACCAUCGAGUCUUUGAACGCAAGUUGCGCCCGAAGCCACUAGGCCGAGGGCACGCCUGCCUGGGCGUCACACGCCGUUGCCCCCCCAUCUACUCCUUCGGGAUUGCGGGGGGGCGGAUGAUGGCCUCCCGUGCGCCUAGCCGCGCGGUUAGCCCAAAAGCGAGUCCUCGGCGACGAGCGCCACGACAAUCGGUGGUUUUUUUACCCUCGUUCCUCGUCGUGCGUGUCCCGUCGCCCGAACGUGCUCUUGUGACCCUCACGCGUCGCCUCGGCGGCGCUCCCAACGCGACCCCAGGUCAGGCGGGACUACCCGCUGAGUUUAAGCAUAUCAAUAAGCGGAGGA